rnacentral:lncRNA from 1 species
CAGCUGAUUUUGGUUCAUCAUCUACAUGGGUAGCCUGCGGCUGGGGUGAAGUAUGAAUGUCAUGCCCCUCUGGCUCCGUAGGAUAAUAUUCCCUCGUUGUAUGCUCCUCAGUAGGUGGGUGGAAACGGGAAGGUGUCUUUUUCCUUUUCGGUGGUAUAUCAACAAAAUCGUCGUCGUCAUCUUCAACAUCACUUGAAUGCCCUUUACAUCCAUCUGUAAUC